rnacentral:rRNA from 1 species
CGAAGGGGGCUAGCGUUGUUCGGAAUUACUGGGCGUAAAGCGCGCGCAGGCGGUUUUUCAAGUCAGUGGUGAAAGCCCGGAGCUCAACUCCGGAACUGCCAUUGAAACUGUAAAACUUGAGGAUGAGAGAGGAGAGUGGAAUUCCCAGUGUAGAGGUGAAAUUCGUAGAUAUUGGGAAGAACACCGGUGGCGAAGGCGGCUCACUGGCUCAUAUCUGACGCUCAGGCGCGACAGCGUGGGGAUCAAACAGGAUUAGAUACCCUGGUAGUCCACGCCGUAAACGAUGAAUGCUAGCCGUUGGGCAGCUUGCUGUUCAGUGGCGCAGCUAACGCAUUAAGCAUUCCGCCUGGGGAGUACGGCCGCAAGGUUG